rnacentral:ncRNA from 2 species
CUUGGGGGCAGAGGUGGCACGGUGUUUGUUGUAACUCAGCCACUGUGUCCCCUCCUU